GUUAGUGUAGCUUAUAUUAUAAAAGCACGGCACUGAAGAUGCCGAGAUGAGAAAAAAAUUCUCCAAAAACA
rnacentral:tRNA from 1 species